CAGGGGGUAUUUUAUUGAAAAUAUUAGUUUUGGGGACUAGUGAAAUGGUGUUAAUACCUUUCCUCUGA
rnacentral:tRNA from 1 species